GAAUUUAAGGUUUAACCGACCCACUAAUUUAUUAAAUGGCCGCAGUAAUUUGACUGUGCAAAGGUAGCAUAAUAAUUAGUUUUUUAAUUAAAAGCUUGUAUGAAUGGUUGGACGAGGUAAAUACUGUCUCUAAAUAAUAAAUAGAAUAAAAUUUUUAAAUUAAAAAGCUUAUAUGAUWAUAAAAGGCGAGAAGAUCUUUAUAGUAUUUUUUAUAUAUAUAAUUAAGAUUAUUUUAUUGUUUAUAAUAAAUAUUAUUGUAUUGGGGKAAUAGAAAGAUUAAAUUAAUUCUUUAUUAUUUAUAUAUAAAUUAAAAGAUUUAUGAUCCUUUAGUAGAGAUUGUAAGAUUAAGUUACCUUAGGGAUAACAGCGUAUUUUUUUUGAAGAGUUCCUAUCGAUAAAAACGUUUGCGACCUCGAUGUUGGAUUAAAAAUUAUUCUAGGUAUAGUAGUUUAGAAUUUUGGUCUGUUCGACCAUUAAAUUUUUACAUGAUCUGAGUUCAGACCGGUGUAAGCCAGGUCGGUUUCUAUCUUUAUUAAAUUAGUAUAUUUUAGUACAAAAGGACCAAAUAUAGAAUAUAUUUAUAUUUUUUAUUUUUGAAUUAUA
rnacentral:rRNA from 1 species